rnacentral:rRNA from 1 species
AUUGAACGCUGGCGGCAGGCUUAACACAUGCAAGUCGAGCGAGCGGCGGACGGGUGAGUAAUGUCUGGGACACUGCCUGAUGGAGGGGGAUAACUACUGGACACGGUAGCUAAUCCCGCAUAACAUCAGCUGUGCCCAGAUGGGAUGAGAUAGUAGGUGGGGUAAUGGCUCACCUAGGCGACGAUCCCUAGCUGGUCUGAGAGGAUGACCAGCCACACGGGAACUGAGACACGGGCCAGACUCCUACGGGAGGCAGCAGUGGGGAAUAUUGCACAAUGGGCGCAAGCCUGAUGCAGCCAUGCCGCGUGUGUGAAGAAGGCCUUCGGGUUGUAAAGUACUUUCAGCGAGGAGGCGUUACUCGCAGAAGAAGCACCGGCUAACUCCGUGCCAGCAGCCGCGGUAAUAC